GACGAACGCUGGCGGCGUGCUUAACACAUGCAAGUCGAACGAUGAAGCCGGAGCUUGCUCUGGUGAAUUAGUGGCGAACGGGUGAGUAACACGUGAGUAACCUGCCCUUGACUCUGGGAUAACUGCGGGAAACUGUAGCUAAUACCGGAUACGACCCUCGGAGGCAUCUCCUGGGGGUGGAAAGAAUUUCGGUCAAGGAUGGACUCGCGGCCUAUGAGCUAGUUGGUGAGGGAAAGGCUCACCAAGGCGACGACGGGUAACCGGCCUGAGAGGGUGACCGGACACACUGGGAAUGAACAACGGCCCAGACUCCUACAGGAGGCAGCAGUGGGGAAUCUUGCACAAUGGGCGCAAGCCUGAUGCAGCAACGCCGCGUGAGGGAUGGCUGCCUUCGGGUUGUAAACCUCUUUUAGCAGGGAAGAAGCGAAAGUGACGGUACCUGCAGAAAAAGCACCGGCUAACUACGUGCCAGCCGUCGCCGUAA
rnacentral:rRNA from 1 species